AGCCAGACUCCUACGGGAGGCAGCAGUGGGGGAUAUUGCACAAUGGGGGAAACCCUGAUGCAGCGACGCCGCGUGGGCGAAGAAGUAUUUCGGUAUGUAAAGCCCUAUCAGCAGGGAAGAAGAAAUGACGGUACCUGAGUAAGAAGCACCGGCUAAAUACGUGCCAGCAGCCGCGGUAAUACGUAUGGUGCAAGCGUUAUCCGGAUUUACUGGGUGUAAAGGGAGCGUAGACGGCGGUGCAAGCCAGAUGUGAAAGCCCGGGGCUCAACCCCGGGACUGCAUUUGGAACUGUGCUGCUAGAGUGUCGGAGAGGCAGGCGGAAUUCCUGGUGUAGCGGUGAAAUGCGUAGAUAUCAGGAGGAACACCGGUGGCGAAGGCGGCCUGCUGGACUGCGACUGACGUUGAGGCCCGAAAGCGUGGGGAGCAAACAGGAUUAGAUACCCCAGUA
rnacentral:rRNA from 1 species